AGAGUUUGAUUAUGGCUCAGAACGAACGCUUGCUGCAUGCUUUAUACAUGCAAGUCGAACGGAGGCCCUAGCUUGCUAGGUGUCCUUAGUGGCGCACGGGUGAGUAACACGUGGGAACAUACCUUAUAGUACGGAAUAACUGCGGGAAACUGUAGCUAAUACCGUAUAUUCCAGCAAUGGGAAAGAUUUAUCGCUAUAAGAUUGGCCCGCGCAAGAUUAGCUUGUUGGUGAGGUAAAAGCUCACCAAGGCUUCGAUCUUUAGCUGGUUUGAGAGGACGAUCAGCCACACUGGGACUGAGACACGGCCCAGACUCCUACGGGAGGCAGCAGUAGGGAAUAUUGGACAAUGGGGGCAACCCUGAUCCAGCAAUGCAGCGUGAGUGACGAAGGCCUUAGGGUUGUAAAACUCUUUCAUCGGUGAGGAUAAUGACAGUAGCCGAAGAAGAAGGACCGGCUAAUUCCGUGCCAGCAGCCGCGGUAAUACGGAAGGUCCUAGCGUUGUUCGGAAUUACUGGGCGUAAAGCGCAUGUAGGCGGAACAGAAAGUUAGAAGUGAAAUCCCUGGGCUCAACCUAGGAAUUGCUUUUAAAACUUCUGUUCUGGAAUUCAGGAGAGGAAAAUGGAAUUUCCAGUGUAGAGGUGAAAUUCGUAGAUAUUGGAAGGAACACCAGUGGCGAAGGCGAUUUUCUGGACUGAUAUUGACGCUGAGAUGCGAAGGCAUGGGUAGCAAACGGGAUUAGAUACCCCGGUAGUCCAUGCAGUAAACGAUGGGUGCUAGUCGUCGGACUUUUGUUCGGUGUC
rnacentral:rRNA from 1 species